UACGUAGGGUGCGAGCGUUGUCCGGAAUUAUUGGGCGUAAAGAGCUCGUAGGCGGCUUGUCACGUCGGGUGUGAAAGCCCGGGGCUUAACCCCGGGUCUGCAUUCGAUACGGGCUAGCUAGAGUGUGGUAGGGGAGAUCGGAAUUCCUGGUGUAGCGGUGAAAUGCGCAGAUAUCAGGAGGAACACCGGUGGCGAAGGCGGAUCUCGUGGGCCAUACUGACGCUGAGGAGCGAAAGCCAGGGAGCAAACGGG
rnacentral:rRNA from 1 species